GGUAAUUGUUUAAAGACCUGCUGAUAAGAGUUCAGGACUGGCGUGUUCCAGUACAGAUGAAGGACAAGAUGGCAAGGUAUGUGAAAAUUUCCUUCAAUUAACCUGCAGCAGAAGACCCUUUUUGCAAGCACUGCCCAGGCAUUCUAGCAAAAUGGCUUGCCUCUUGAUUUUUCCCAAACUUCAAAAGCAGUAAACUGCACAACAUUGGACCAACAGCCUUAUGGGCCUGGGAUUCCAGCAAUUUCCAAGAGCAGAUUCCAGUAGUUAUGCAUUUGAAUUGGAAAAUGGAAAUUCCACUCCAUUGUCUAAGAAGCAAAGAGAUGCCGAGUAACAACAUACAUACCAUUACAUUUGAGGAAAUUGCAAGAAUCUAUCAGAGGCAGUGACUAAGCACUUGGACAAUUACCAACUGAUCCCAGAGAUUUU